UAACCGUAUAGGGGAGCCGAAGGGAAACCGAGUCUUAAUUGGGCGUUAAGUUGCAGGGUAUAGACCCGAAACCCGGUGAUCUAGCCAUGGGCAGGUUGAAGGUUGGGUAACACUAACUGGAGGACCGAACCGACUAAUGUUGAAAAAUUAGCGGAUGACCUGUGGCUGGGGGUGAAAGGCCAAUCAAACCGGGAGAUAGCUGGUUCUCCCCGAAAGCUAUUUAGGUAGCGCCUCGUGAAUUCAUCUCCGGGGGUAGAGCACUGUUUCGGCUAGGGGGCCAUCCCGGCUUACCAACCCGAUGCAAACUGCGAAUACCGGAGAAUGUUAUCACGGGAGACACACGGCGGGUGCUAACGUCCGUCGUGAAGAGGGAAACAACCCAGACCGCCAGCUAAGGUCCCAAAGUCAUGGUUAAGUGGGAAACGAUGUGGGAAGGCCCAGACAGCCAGGAUGUUGGCUUAGAAGCAGCCAUCAUUUAAAGAAAGCGUAAUAGCUCACUGGUCGAGUCGGCCUGCGCGGAAGAUGUAACGGGGCUAAACCAUGCACCGAAGCUGCGGCAGCGACACUGUGUGUUGUUGGGUAGGGGAGCGUUCUGUAAGCCUGUGAAGGUGUGUCGUGAGGCAUGCUGGAGGUAUCAGAAGUGCGAAUGCUGACAUAAGUAACGAUAAAGCGGGUGAAAAGCCCGCUCGCCGGAAGACCAAGGGUUCCUGUCCAACGUUAAUCGGGGCAGGGUGAGUCGACCCCUAAGGCGAGGCCGAAAGGCGUAGUCGAUGGGAAACGGGUUAAUAUUCCCGUACUUGGUGUUACUGCGAAGGGGGGACGGAGAAGGCUAUGUUGGCCGGGCGACGGUUGUCCCGGUUUAAGCGUGUAGGUGUGUGUUCCAGGUAAAUCCGGUU
rnacentral:rRNA from 1 species